AAUAAAAGAAUAGAAAAGAGAAUAGAAAGAGACAAAACAGAGAGCAGGGGAAAGAAAGAAAGAAAAAGAGAAAAGAAAGAUGAAAAGGGAAAAUUCAAGGUUUGAAGCUUGAAGUUUUAAUAGGUUAAGUAAAGAUAGAACGUUUAAUCAGCAUCCCAGGCCGAUCCCGAAUUCAAUAAGGUAAAGUGUGUUCAUUAUUGGUAAAGGCAUGUACCUAGGGUGUCUUAUGUGUGUGUCAUUUUGAAAUUGUAAAUGUAAGGAUGAAAUAAAUAGAUUUAAGUUUUGUUAUGAUAUAUAAUAGAAUUUGGUUAAUUUGGUAUGAAAUUGAUUUAUUUGAUGAUAUUUGAUAUUUGAAUAAAAUUAAAUAUUGAAUAAUAUGUAAAUGUUUAAAUUUGGAAAA